GGACUACCAGGGUAUCUAAUCCUGUUUGCUCCCCACGCUUUCGUGCAUGAGCGUCAGUAUUGGCCCAGGGGGCUGCCUUCGCCAUCGGUGUUCCUCCACAUCUCUACGCAUUUCACUGCUACACGUGGAAUUCCACCCCCCUCUGCCAUACUCUAGCUUGCCAGUCACGAAUGCAGUUCCCAGGUUGAGCCCGGGGAUUUCACAUCCGUCUUAACAAACCGCCUGCGCACGCUUUACGCCCAGUAAUUCCGAUUAACGCUCGCACCCUACGUAUUACCGCGGCUGCUGGCAC
rnacentral:rRNA from 1 species